rnacentral:rRNA from 1 species
GACGAACGCUGGCGGCGUGCUUAACACAUGCAAGUCGAACGAAGAGCGACGGAAGCUUGCUUCUAUCAAUCUUAGUGGCGAACGGGUGAGUAACGCGUAAUCAACCUGCCCUUCAGAGGGGGACAACAGUUGGAAACGACUGCUAAUACCGCAUACGAUCUAACCUCGGCAUCGAGGGUAGAUGAAAGGUGGCCUCUACAUGUAAGCUAUCACUGAAGGAGGGGAUUGCGUCUGAUUAGCUAGUUGGAGGGGUAACGGCCCACCAAGGCGAUGAUCAGUAGCCGGUCUGAGAGGAUGGACGGCCACAUUGGGACUGAGACACGGCCCAGACUCCUACGGGAGGCAGCAGCGGGGAAUCUUCCGCAAUGGACGAAAGUCUGACGGAGCAACGCCGCGUGAGUGAUGACGGCCUUCGGGUUGUAAAGCUCUGUUAAUCGGGACGAAAGGCCUUCUUGCGAAUAGUGAGAAGGAUUGACGGUACCGGAAUAGAAAGCCACGGCUAACUACGUG